UACGUAGGGUGCGAGCGUUGUCCGGAAUUAUUGGGCGUAAAGAGCGUGUAGGCGGCCAGAUAGGUCUGCUGUGAAAACUCGAGGCUCAACCUCGAGAUGUCGGCGGAAACCAUUUGGCUAGAGUCCGGAAGAGGAAAGUGGAAUUCCUGGUGUAGCGGUGAAAUGCGCAGAUAUCAGGAGGAACACCGGUGGCGAAGGCGGAUCUCUGGGCCUUACCUGACGCUGAGGAGCGAAAGCAUGGGGAGCAAACAGG
rnacentral:rRNA from 1 species